AUUGAACGCUGGCGGCAGGCUUAACACAUGCAAGUCGCGCGAGCGGCGGACGGGUGAGUAAUGUCUGGGAACCUGCCUGAUGGAGGGGGAUAACUACUGGAAACGGUAGCUAAUACCGCAUACCAUCAGAUGUGCCCAGAUGGUAUUAGCUAGUAGGUGGGGUAAAGGCGCACCUAGGCGACGAUCCCUAGCGGGUAUGAGAGGAUGACCAGGCACACUGGAACUGAGACAAGGGCCAGACUCCGACGGGAGGCAGCAGUGGGGAAUAUUGGACAAGGGGAGCAAGCCGGAUGCAGCCAUGCCGCGUGUGUGAAGAAGGCCUUCGGGUUGUAAAGGACUUUCAUCGGGGAGGCGUUACUCGCAGAAGAAGCACCGGCUAACUCCGUGCCAGCAGCCGCGGUAAUUC
rnacentral:rRNA from 1 species